CUUGGUGGCACAGAGGUCUUUAUUACUAAAAGGUUAUGUCAGCACAGGGCCCUGCCCCAAGUCCGCAGAAGCCCCCACCAGACAGGUUUCCCACCCACUCAGUCACUUUCUAUGCAACAGACCACCUGAAGAAAGGCAACAGUAGCCUGAGUUCACAUGCACUCCAUUCCCCCUAUCAACCCAGUGGUUUAGCUAAAAUCUAUCCCAGUCUUUUCACCCUCUUUGGCCUUUUCUGUCUUCUCUUUCCCAAAUACGAAGCUCCUUACAAGAAGCAAAUCUCACUGUCCACUCCACCAUGGGGGACGAUGUUCCAGCACAUGUAAUAAAAUUGGACAGCUCUUGAUCAGGCACACAGGAGAGAUGCAGAGAAGUCAAUUCAAUAGGCACCAAUUUCAUAUGACUUUACAGUAUUUCAAGCAUACAACCUGCUUGUGUAUGUCAAUGUUCCGUUAUAUUUUAAUUCAAGAAUAUUUCCAGGCUCCAGGCUGCAGAGACGCUAGCUCCUCCACUGGGAUCCAGGGCCAGUUCCAAGCUCCACUGACUUAUUCCAUCCACACAGGAUAGCACUUCACUCUGUACCGGGGAUUGAAGUGAAGGGAUCAGUGUUUCUUUAUCUCUGCUCCUGAGAAGUAAGGGCAGAGGGGUGGGCAGAGCAGUCUUGUGCAACAGACCCAUGGAGUCAAAGCCAAGGCCCAGAGGGAUAAAGAUGAGAGGAUGACUUCACUUUGGAGCAGAUGCCUGCAGGCUGGGAGGGUGUACAGCCUACCCUGGCAUGUUUCUGCCAGGGGCAAAAUGAGCUCAAGCAAGCGUGGCUUCUUAACAGCAGAAUUGAAACCAAGUGAUUCCUAGUAUUUGCUUCUUGAAUUCCCUAAAACUCCUCCCCAAAAGGGAUACUUCAGAACGGUUCACAGCACUUCUACUGAACAGUUCCUGGUGUCUUUUUUUAUGACUAUCAUACAUACAAAGCAAAACAAUAAAAAUCUUUAUUUACCAUGCGUAUGAGGACUUUUUAAAGCUUUUAUCUGGACAUUCUUGUAGAGAUCCUCAGUAUAUAUUCUCCCCAAGAAAAUUUUCUUCCAGAGAAAAUGUUUUUCAGGAUUUCAGCAGCUGAAGGGGUACUGUAAGUUACAUGAAUGUUUAAAAGUCAAAGACUUCCGUGUCAUGUAAUUAAUUUACUUAUGGAACUAAGGUUGGGUGAUUUACAUAGUACAGAUGACAACUAUGAGGAAAAAAGACAAAUAAGCCAUCAAUAAAAAAACCAUCAUUGCAAACUCAUCUAGAAUGUCUCCUGAGCACCUACUCACCAACUCACAAAACAAGGUUUUGGGCCUUUAUUUCCUGGCACGGAGGUCUUUCUUGAGCGUUAAUGUGCAUUUGCAUCACCUGGUCCUCUUCUUGCCAAAAAUUCUGAGUUUCUGACCUUCAGGACCAGGACACUUGUGAGGAACACUGGUCAGUUUUGUCAAUAUCCCUCAACAUUUCGCUUUGACAAGACUGCACGUCUGGCACCAGCACCAGAAGUGAUGUGUCCUCGGCCUACAUCAUGGGGGGUUGACAUCAAAGUCUCAUUACCAGUAAUGUUAACAUUGGUAGUUGAUUGUAUGCUUCAGGUGGCACCUGCUGAGUUUUUCCACUGUAUAGUUACUAUUUUAUUUAUAAAUACCAUGGUAGUACCGUGGUAAUACUUUGGGAUUAGGUAAAUAACCACAGGUUGGAAAAGGCAUGACAAUUAAACGCAUAAGUAGCGACCUAUAUUAGAUACUGAAACAAAAAAGGGCAUGGUAGUGCACGCCUGUAAUUCCAGCAACUUGUGAGGCUGAGGCAGGAGGAUUCAGAGUUCAAAGGCAGCCUCAGCAAUUUAGCCAGGCCCUAAGCAACUCAGCAACCCUAUCUCUAAAAAAUAUACAACAAAAAGGGAUGGGGAUAUGGCUCAGGGGAUAAGAGCCUCUGGGUUUAAUCCCCAGUAUCAAAAAAAAAAAAAAAAAAAGUAGAAAACUGAAUUGAAUAAGGUCUAUAUCUUACUUAAUAGCCCCAAUAAGAUAUUGUUUCUGGUUUCUAUAUGGCUAUUUCAUUAUGUAAGAUGUCAACAUUAGGGGAGCAAGGGAAGAGAGUGGGGAAAUAGACCAAAGUAGUUUUGUUAUUUUUCUGUAAUGACUAAAAAUUACUUGAAAUUAAAAUUUUACCAAGUUUAAAUUCUGAUUCCAUAGAUCUGGUGAUUUCAUAAACUCAAACAAUGCAAUGCUGAUCCAUGCUGUGGACCAUUCUGCUAGCAAGCCUCUGGCAGACAGAGCUAAAAUCAUCUCGCACAACUGGCAUGUGGGAGACUCACUGGACUGCACGGAGGCUAUGCUCCAAGUGUAGCCAUCACUGACUGCGGGUGUGCCUCAAACUGCAGAGUGCUGAGCCCCUAGCCCAGCUCGGCCCAGUAUACCUGGUCCUGGGAGAAGCCAAGAGUCUGAAAUCACAGUGUUUGCUGCACACAUCUGACUGACCUUCCCCAGCUGAGCCUGAAGCCCCUUCCAAGUCUGCAGAGCCAGAACCAUUCUCUCAAUUUGAGACAGCUACAGGAAGUAUGGACCUGACACCUCUCCCUUCUGCUGGUGGACAUAUCACCAAGACUUCAAGGAGGUAGGAGAGUGGGGUGAAGAAAAGUUUUGAAUUCCUGCUCAAAGUGACUGACCAACCUAUUCUUUUAAAAUGAUUUCUUUACUAAUAGAGAUAAUAAACCCACAAGAAAGAGAAUGUGGAGGCAAGCAAAAGGCUUCACUAAUUUCUGACAGAGGAUCCAACCCAGGCAACACAGGGAGUGGGGCUCUAGGCCCCACAGAAGCCCAUGAGCAGGCUGAAGACCUUGGCAGAGGGGGCCAGGCCUGCUUCCUAAAGUCAGCUUCUGCUAAGGCCCCCACAAAGACAGGUGGAGCAGACCCCAAGCAAAGAGGACUUCUAGAGAGAAGAUGCACAGCCCAAAGAAAAUGUGUAAAUCUGGAAUUCCAGGUCCCACUGUACCAAGCUCCCAGAGGAAACCCACCCAUUUUCAAAACCAGCCCCAUACAGACCCAGGGUUCUGUGCCAGUUUCCCCUUGCCUUAGACAAUAAUAAUGCAAAUAUUGGAGGAGGACCUACCAUGUAAGGCAAGAAGCCAACAUUUACCAAAAAAAAAAAAAAAAAAGUGCCAUUAAACAAGAAAUUUAAACACAAGAGAACCUAAAAGAAUCCUCACUUCUCAGCGUCUAGGAAAUAACACAUUUAUAAAACAGUUGUCUAUUAUAAUAAAGAACAGGACACAUACAUUUUUAGAAAUUAGGUUUGUAGAAAAAAAUAUUUAAAACAAAGCCAAGUACCAUGGCACACUCCUAUAAUCCUAGUGACUUGGGAGGCUGAGGCAGAAGAAUCACAAGUGCCAGGCCAGCCUGGGCAACUUUGCAGGGUCCUAAGCAACUUAACAAGACCCUGCCUCAAGACAAACUAAAAGGGCUGGGAUGUAGCUCACCGGUGAAGGGCCCCUGGGUUCAACCCCCAGCAGUGGGGAAAAUUUUUUAAACAGGAUUAUAAAACAAAUCAAAGUCCUUCCUAGAAAUGAAAGGUAAAGACAAGUUUCAAGAGGUGAAUGUAAUGCUUACCACCCACUAACAGGAAUUCUUCAAAGAGGAAAGAGCCAAAUGUUAAGGGAAAGCUGUCAAGUGACUCCAGAGAAGUGCCAGAGCUUACGGACAGCAGCAGGGUCAAAGAGCACUCGAGUGGGACUCCACGCACUUGUGCACACUAUGAAUUGUCAUAAAGCCUAAGACAAGAUUCUAAGGACGCCCAGGGAGGGAAGAGGCUCCCUCUCCAAGGGGAGGAAGAAUACCUGGAAGAGGCUCCCACUGAAGCGAUGCAAGGCACGGUCAAAGCCAGCCAGGUGCAGAUAAGGGAAACUACGGGACGGCACCUGGGCAGGGCUGAGGAGUGACUGAAGCGGACAGAGGUAGAGGGCCGGGGAGGCCGCACGGAGGAGCCACUGUGUAAGGAGCCAACGGGAGCAGAAAAUGCAGGGAGAAGAGGCGGCCGCUAGGAACAGCAGCGACAGGGCCGCCCAGGAAGCGGAGCGCUGCGGCCGCAGAACAAUGCCGCCGUGCGGGCGCACUCGGGGGCCGGGCCGCCCUCCGCGCACGCCGG
rnacentral:lncRNA from 1 species